rnacentral:rRNA from 1 species
CCAGGCGGCGUGCUUACCAUGCAAGUCGAACGGAGUUUAUAUGAAACCUAGUGAUUAUAAACUUAGUGGCGGACGGGUGAGUAACGCGUGGGUAACCUGCCUUAUACCGGGGGACAACAGUUAGAAAUGACUGCUAAUACCGCAUAAGCGCACGGUGUCGCAUGACACAGUGUGAAAAACUCCGGUGGUAUAAGAUGGACCCGCGUCUGAUUAGCCAGUUGGUGAGGUAACGGCCCACCAAAGCAACGAUCAGUAGCCGGCCUGAGAGGGUGAACGGCCACAUUGGGACUGAGACACGGCCCAAACUCCUACGGGAGGCAGCAGUGGGGAAUAUUGGACAAUGGGGGAAACCCUGAUCCAGCGACGCCGCGUGAGUGAAGAAGUAUUUCGGUAUGUAAAGCUCUAUCAGCAAGGAAGAUAAUGACGGUACUUGACUAAGAAGCCCCGGCUAACUACGUGCCAGCAGCCGCGGUAAU